CUCUCCACUAUAUACCCACCAACGAAACACCAUCCAUUCUCUCACCUUCUCUCCCUCUCUCUCUCUCAAACAAUGCCGUAUUGCGACGUCGGAACCCGCGAAUCCUCCGUCGCCGCCUUCAACGCCGUCGCUCCCGCCGACGCGCCCCUCAACAAUGACGUAAAGAUAUUUUAUAGAACUUACGGUCACGGUCCAACCAAAGUGCUCCUCAUCAUAGGAUUGGCCUCGACACACGACGGGUGGGGCCCACAAGUUAAGGCCUUGACUGGAACCACCGUCCCCAACGAAGACGACGACGUUUGGACCGGCGACGGCAAUGGUAGCGGCAUCGAAGUCUGCGUGUUUGAUAAUCGGGGCGUGGGUCAGAGCUCCGUGCCCGUCCAAAAAUCCGAAUACUCAACCAAGAUCAUGGCAAAGGAUGCAAUAGCUUUAUUAGAUCAUCUGGGUUGGAAAAAAGCCCAUGUUUUUGCCCACUCAAUGGGAGCUAUGAUAGCUUGUAAAGUUGCGGCAAUGGUUCCUGAUAGAGUCCUCUCCUUGGCGUUGCUCAAUGUUACGGGUGGAGGUUUUCAAUGUUUUCCCAAGUUCGACCGACAAACAUUCUCUGUUGCUUACCGUUUCUUGAAAGCAAAGACUGCUGAAGAAAGGGCUGCUGUUGACUUGGACACCCACUACUCACAAGAAUAUCUUGAGGAAUACGUUGGAGCCGAUAAGAGGAGAUCCAUCUUAUAUCAGCAAUAUGUUAAAGGUAUAUCAACAACAGGGAUGCAAUCCAAUUAUGGUUUUGAUGGCCAACUAAAUGCAUGUUGGACACAUAAAAUGACUCAAACAGAGAUUGAGGUGAUCAAAUCUUCAGGUUUUCUUGUUUCAGUCAUCCAUGGCAGGCAUGAUAUAAUUGCUCAGAUAUAUUAUGCAAGGAGACUUGCUGAGAGACUUCAUCCAGUGGCUAGAAUGGUAGAUCUACAUGGAGGUCAUUUAGUAAGUCACGAGCGGCCUGAAGAGGUUAAUCAAGCAUUGUUUGACUUGAUCAAGGCAUCAGAAGUGAAGAUGAGCCCACAUGAUUGGACUAAUUUGCCAAAAAAACAGUCUUCUUGGUGGGUUGUCGGCAUGUAUGGUAAUAAUGUCUAAGCUCCAAGCAGGGACAGACCCACGUUGGUGGGUUAGGGCAAGGGUCCCCACUCAAAUUUACUACUUUCAUACACGAUUUUCCAUUUUUUACCCCACGGCCUAAGAAGGUCUGCUUCAAUACAAGGUUCACUGGGUAAAUUUUAAUUUUAACAAACCACAGCCAAUUCUUCUCUUUUGGACUUCACCCAACUCUCCUCUCAGUCGCAAAAACCAAUUUCAUUCACGGAGUGUUAAACUUUUAGUUGAUUUCCUACAUGGUUAGAUGAUUUAAUUAUCACCCAACAGCCCAUCCUUACAGACACAACUCAGAGCCAUGUUUCAUCAGUGCAUACCCAGCCCCAGAUCAAUUUACAGGGUGGAAAGAGAAAAGGGUGUUAAUCCGAGCAAACACUCAGGCUGGAAGUAACGUCUCCUUUAAGUGCUACGUAUUAGAAAAACUACAUCUCUGCCUACUAUACUUCAUUGGUCUCCUUGUAUUAGCGUUUGAGUAUGCAAGAAAGCUUCUAAGAAACUUAAAACCAGUUCGACUAGGAGGUUCCCCCUCGCUUAUUGGAAGUCAAUAACCCUUUUUCUUAAUAGGUGGAUAAUAUAUAUUUGGGUAAAACACUGAAAGUAAGAGAUUGCAGAACGAGUUCAGCAAGCGCUGAGGCUCAUGUAUACGGCAAUGAUGACUCUUUUUUUGUGGUGGGAACGAAUCAGGGUUUCUCUCCAACGGACAAAAAGUGGAAGAGGAUUCUUUUCGCUACCUUGAUUUGUGUUAUGAGGCAUGACACUAAAAUAUCCCUUUAUUGACAAGAUGAAUUUUGUAUGCUCUGUAUAGUCAAUAAAGCCGAAGAGACAGGAGAGGUUGGAUGAUCCACUUUCCCGCUUGUACACUAUAAUGCUAUGUUUGAUCAGAAUCCAACUCUGAAAUUCUGCUCCAUAUCACACUUCUGUACACCAUGUUUGAUAAAUAUUUGGAAAUAAAAAAUAUCAGACCAAAAACGUUUAACAC